rnacentral:lncRNA from 1 species
AAACUUCUUUUUUCAUAUUUAUUAACAAAUUACGAAACUUGACAUAAAGAUAGAUAAAAUACAUUUAACUAUAUAAUAAAAACAUUAUUAAAAUAUUAAACUAACACAGCAUACUAACAAGCUAUUACAAAGAUAUGCGUUAUCAUUUCAAAUAUGUGGAAAAGGCUAUGACCAUUACCCUUGUUUUUGUCUCAUUAUUUCAAAAAUCAGAAAUUGGAUACACCAACUUGACCUUAAUAUCAAAAGGUGUUGAAAUUAUAUGCUUAAAAGCUUUCCACCAAAUUUAGAAAUAUCGUGAAAACAAAAAUGUAAUUCAGCAGUACACGUUGAUGUUGAAGAUAAUAAUGCUGAUUCAAUUAUGCAAAGAUAAUGAGUAUUUAUAACCUUAAGCAUGUUAUGGACAUCAAUCCAAUAAAAUUACAGUAAUUCAAACAUGCAUAGAUUGGUAGGUUUUUUCCGCGUCAAAUAAGAAUAUUAUUUCGUGAUUCAUCCUUUAAGGUAUUUAUAAUUGUGUCCCAUGUCCAGAGAUAGAAGUUGUAAUUCAAACUGGUAAGAAUGUGCAAUAAAUGCUAUGAUUCAUGCAAUUUCAGAAAAGAAGGAAAAUUGAAUUUUAAAAUGGGCUUUGGUGAAAAUAUUUAUGAAACUUUGACCUUACCGUCUAAUAGAUAUAUAUAAUACAAUUUGAUAAAAUGGGUUUCAAGUUAACGAUUUGCAUUAGAACCCCGAAAAUGCAGCAAAUGGGUUUUGGGGUAAAAUCAAUGAAAUUGAGAUUCACAAAGAUAUUAGAAAUAACAGCAUAUAAGGGCGUUGACAAAUAAGUCACAAUGAUAUGAACAGCAUAUACAGGUAUGCACAAGUAAGCAUAAGGUACAUAGAGAAUAAUACAUGGCAAUAUCCGUAUCAUAUGCCGUAUCAUCCCGAGAUACCAAUAUCAGCACGAGGGCCUUUAGGCCCGAGGGAUGAUAUUGGUUGAGGGUGAUACGGCGUGUGAUACGGAUUUGCC